rnacentral:lncRNA from 1 species
GUUAUCAAUCUGUGCGAAAUUUGUCACCGCUAUUGGCCUAUUUGCGAUAAAGAAACCGUAGUUCAUUCUCUCUGCUCUCUAUUCAUAUAUUUGUGAUUCGGUCGUAGAUGAAAUAGUUGAAUGAAUGAUAGCCGUUCCUAUCGAAAAGUUUGCUUUCUCCUAAGGCGCGAGGAAAGGAAGGGAAUUAAAUAAACGUGGUAAUAAUGCCUAGUGAUGUAACAGGAAAAUUAGCGAAGGAUUUCUGCGUAAAAACGUAGAAACUUGGCAGAAGAGAGAGAAAGAGAGAUGUGCAGCGUGGAGAAGGGCGUUUCACAUCGACGGAAACAAUACGAGUGAGAACGAGUUUGUCGAGUUCACUCAACUCGGAACAGGUUCUUUUCGACGCCCUAUGUGGCAUGUAAUGGCCGACUCUCUUCAAAUUAUUUGGCUGCACUUUUUCGUGUAUUAAGUAUGGCUGCAGCUGCAAGCUUCUCCCUAGUCGAUUGCUUUUCUGCUUAUUGAUCUCUGCGGAAUUCCAUGCCAGAAUCUGUCCGGUUAGCGUGAUACACUCUUCUCUAGACGUACUAAAUUUGGGGGGAGUGGCUAGCCUUUCCGCCCAGAAGGAACAUGCAAUGACCACUUUUGAUCUCCCUGCGUACCAGACACGCGGAGGAAAAGACACCGUUUACCCCUGUAGAAUAGGAGGAUCGCUUUAUAAACGUCAUUCCGAGUAAAUAAUGCGACCGAAGAUUUAACGUGGAGGCGACGAAGAGUGUCAAACACGUGACAGAUAGUCAGACGUCAGCAGGUGCUUCGUUUCUGACAGAAACCUGAUAGAUUGUAGGUAAUCCGCAAAACAAUGGCUACUCUCUCUUCUCUCUGCUAGACAUCGCUUGAUAAAUGGCCCGAGGCGAAGCUGUAUCUCCACCAGCCAGUCGGAAAUUUUGGUAGGUCCAUUGCAUAGUCUUCGACUGUAUCCACAGAUGGCGCCACAUCAGAAAUAAUUUAUUUAGCCCUCUAAACGUGAGCGAGUUUAUUUGAUCUUUAAACAGGACACGGAGAGGAGUGGUCAGAGAAUCUCUUUAACUGAUAAAAAUGCAGAUUUUGAUCGUAGCUAGUUUAAAGAGACGUCGAAAACGUCGUGGCACGAUCAUCACUUGGUAAAGUCGGAGGAAUAAUGAAGUGGCUAUUGAUUGCUAACUUGGCCUCUUUGUGACUAGUAAAUGGACUGUUUGAUUGAUGCGUGCAGUUUGGUCCAGCUGCGGGCGUUUUGUAUACAGGCCGCAGCUCCAUGAUACCAGUUGAUGCCGUGCAAAUCGACAACCUUUCAGAGCACUUAUACAACUAUAUUUAGGCCCAUCGCUGACCAACUCUUUAUCUAUAUUUGCGCUCGUAAGCCAACACUCCAAAAGAUAAUGUCUUAUUAUCGUUUUUAGAUCUUUGUUCAUAAUUAUUCGGUAGUUUUUCUGUCUAAUUUCUUCCCCUUAAUAUUACUAACACAAAACGAGACUAGUAAACAGUGUCACGAUAUAUGCGGAGUACGAAAAAAUAUAUAUAUUGUAUUUAGGAUCGAUGUAAACGCGAUACAACAGUUAAGGUUUGAAUUUUUCGAUUUUUUACGGUCGGUUGGCCGUUAAGCAAGAGCUCAUAAUUAAAAAAAAUGACCUCGAAAUUUCGCGAAAGCAGAAUAGCGUGUCCCAGUUUUAGACUUCCUCCUCAGAAAAUCAGCUUUAAAGGUUUUGCGGAAAGUUCUGCGAUCCAAAUUUAUUAUCAAAAUAAAAACAAAAAUGGCCGACUUUUGCUGGUGGAACAAAUAAAGUACACGGCGAAACGGCUAGAGCGGAUAUUUUUAUCUCUGUCACAAUUAAAAUUUUUAUUUUAAUAUUUAAUUCUUCCACAUGUCUGGCUCGAUAACUAUUUUUAUAAGCGUGCUGCAGCGUUAUUGAGCCUUCUAGUAUCUUUGGUCCGAUGGCGACAGUUUCAUUAGUUUAGAAUAAAAAAAUAAAUAAAAAGAGAAGAGGGUAACAUUUUUCUUUUUUUUUUUUUUUUUCCUUUCUUCCUCCCAUUCCCUAUCUUCUUAAAUUCGUUCAC